AGAGUUUGAUCCUGGCUCAGAUUGAACGCUGGCGGCAGGCCUAACACAUGCAAGUCGAACGGUAACAUUUCUAGCUUGCUAGAAGAUGACGAGUGGCGGACGGGUGAGUAAUGCUUGGGAACUUGCCUUUGCGAGGGGGAUAACAGUUGGAAACGACUGCUAAUACCGCAUAAUGUCUUCGGACCAAACGGGGCUUAGGCUCCGGCGCAAAGAGAGGCCCAAGUGAGAUUAGCUAGUUGGUAAGGUAAAGGCUUACCAAGGCAACGAUCUCUAGCUGUUCUGAGAGGAAGAUCAGCCACACUGGGACUGAGACACGGCCCAGACUCCUACGGGAGGCAGCAGUGGGGAAUAUUGCACAAUGGGGGAAACCCUGAUGCAGCCAUGCCGCGUGUGUGAAGAAGGCCUUCGGGUUGUAAAGCACUUUCAGUUGUGAGGAAAAGUUAGUAGUUAAUACCC
rnacentral:rRNA from 1 species